rnacentral:rRNA from 1 species
CCUACGGGAGGCAGCAGUGGGGAAUAUUGCACAAUGGGGGACACCCUGAUGCAGCGACGCCGCGUGAGUGAAGAAGUAUUUCGGUAUGUAAAGCUCUAUCAGCAGGGAAGAACAUGACGGUACCUGAUUAAGAAGCCCCGGCGAACUACGUGCCAGCAGCCGCGGUAAUGCGUCGGGGGCAAGCGUUAUCCGGAUUUACUGGGUGGAAAGGGAGCGUAGACGGCAGCACAAGUCUGGAGAUAAAUGCCGGGGCUUAACCCCGGAACUGCUUUGGAAACUGUGCAGCUAGAGUGCAGGAGAGGUAAGUGGAAUUCCUAGGGUAGCGGUGAAAUGCGUAGAUAUUAGGAGGAACACCAGUGGCGAAGGCGGCUUACUGGACUGUAACUGACGUUGAGGCUCGAAAGCGUGGGGAGCAAACAGGAUUAGAUACCCUUGUAGUC